CAGUCGCCGCGGUAAUACGAAGGGUGCAAGCGUUAAUCGGAAUUACUGGGCGUAAAGCGUGCGUAGGUGGUGGUUUAAGUCCGUUGUGAAAGCCCUGGGCUCAACCUGGGAAUUGCAGUGGAUACUGGAUCACUAGAGUGUGGUAGAGGAUAGUGGAAUUUCCGGUGUAGCAGUGAAAUGCGUAGAGAUCGGAAGGAACAUCUGUGGCGAAGGCGACUAUCUGGGCCAACACUGACACUGAGGCACGAAAGCGUGGGGAGCAAACAGGAUUAGAUACCCCAGUAGUCCCUGUCUCUUAUAC
rnacentral:rRNA from 1 species